rnacentral:hammerhead_ribozyme from 1 species
ACGAGUCCCAAAUAGGACGAAAUACGCAUCCUGGAU